rnacentral:misc_RNA from 1 species
AAGUCGUAACAAGGUUUCCGUAGGUGAACCUGCGGAAGGAUCAUUACAAAUCCCAUUUGAUUCCUAUCUGUUGAAAUGUGAAAAAGUGAGAGAGAGAGAGAGAGGGGUGGUGGUUAGGGUUCGUGAUUGGUUAGGGUUAGGGUUUAGGUCAGGUUUUGUUAUAAAAUACAACCAUUCUAAUGACUUGUACGAUUCCAUCCCUAUACACACACACUCGCGUUUCUCUUCUUCAUCACCUCACCUGCUUUCUCACUUUUCUUUUCAUUCUUUUUUGUUGAUCUAUUUUAAAUAUUUCGAUGACACACACUUUACACAACUUGUGACAAUGGAUCUCUAGGCUCUU